rnacentral:rRNA from 1 species
GAUCAUGGCUCAGGACGAACGCUGGCGGCGUGCCUAACACAUGCAAGUCGAACGAGAUCCAUGGGAGCUUGCUCCCGGAAGAUCUAGUGGCGAACGGGUGAGUAACACGUGAGAAACCUGCCCUGGAGUGGGGAAUAACUCGGGGAAACUCGAGCUAAUACCGCAUACCCUCGGAUGGUCGCAUGGCCGACCGAGGAAAGAUUUAUCGCUCUAGGAGGGUCUCGCGGCCUAUCAGCUAGUUGGUGGGGUAACGGCCUACCAAGGCAACGACGGGUAGCUGGUUUGAGAGAACGAUCAGCCACACUGGGACUGAGACACGGCCCAGACUCCUACGGGAGGCAGCAGUGGGGAAUCUUGCGCAAUGGGCGAAAGCCUGACGCAGCAACGCCGCGUGCGGGAUGACGGCCUUCGUGGUUGUAAACCGCUUUCAGCAGGGACGAAAAUGACGGUACCUGCAGAAGAAGCCCCGGCUAACUACGUG